UCUGGUUGAUCCUGCCAGUAAUUAUAUGCUUGUCUCAUAGAUUAAGCCGUGCAUGUCUAAAGUACACACUAAUUAAAACGUGAACCCGCCAAAAGGCUCAUUAUAUCAGUUAUGGUUCCUUAGAUCGUUUACAGUUACUUGGGAUAAACUGUGGGUAAUUCUAGAGCUAAUACAUGCAAUUAAAACAUGAACCUUAUGGGACAUGUGCUUUUAUUAGGCUAAAACCCAAGCGAUCGCAAGAUCGUUAUAUUGGUUGAACUCUAGAUAACAUGCAGAUCGUAUGGUCUUGUACCGACGACAGAUCUUUCAAAUGUCUGCCCCUAUCAACUUUUGAUGGUAGUAUCUAGGACUACCAUGGUUGCAACGGGUAACGGGGAAUCAGGGUUCGAUUCCGGAGAGGGAGCCUGAGAAACGGCUACCACAUCUAAGGAAGGCAGCAGGCGCGUAAAUUACCCACUCCCAGCUCGGGGAGGUAGUGACGAAAAAUAACAAUACAGGACUCAUAUCCGAGGCCCUGUAAUUGGAAUGAGUACACUUUAAAUCCUUUAACAAGGACCAAUUGGAGGGCAAGUCUGGUGCCAGCAGCCGCGGUAAUUCCAGCUCCAAUAGCGUAUAUUAAAGUUGUUGCGGUUAAAACGUUCGUAGUUGAACUUGUGCUUCAUACGGGUAGUACAACUUACAAUUGUGGUUAGUACUAUACCUUUAUGUAUGUAAGCGUAUUACCGGUGGAGUUCUUAUAUGUGAUUAAAUACUUGUAUUUUUUCAUAUGUUCCUCCUAUUUAAAAACCUGCACUAGUGCUCUUAAACGAGUGUUAUUGUGGGCCGGUACUAUUACUUUGAACAAAUUAGAGUGCUUAAAGCAGGCUUCAAAUGCCUGAAUAUUCUGUGCAUGGGAUAAUGAAAUAAGACCUCUGUUCUGCUUUCAUUGGUUUUCAGAUCAAGAGGUAAUGAUUAAUAGAAGCAGUUUGGGGGCAUUAGUAUUACGACGCGAGAGGUGAAAUUCUUGGACCGUCGUAAGACUAACUUAAGCGAAAGCAUUUGCCAAAGAUGUUUUCAUUAAUCAAGAACGAAAGUUAGAGGUUCGAAGGCGAUCAGAUACCGCCCUAGUUCUAACCAUAAACGAUGCCAGCUAGCAAUUGGGUGUAGC
rnacentral:rRNA from 1 species